UACAGAAGAACCAAUCGUUAUUUGUGGAGAUUGACUUGAAGGACAAAGUGGAAGAAGAGAAAACUGAAGAUAUUUCAACAGAAGAGAAACUACUUGAAAAAGAAGAGGAACCUCUCACAGCUGUGUCCCCAACCAGCUGGCUGUGUUGCCUUCCCAUCUGGAUGAAGCAGACGAAGCAAAAAGAAAAAACGGAGUAGUCACAGAAAAGG